CUUGCUCCGGAAGAUCUAGUGGCGAACGGGUGCGUAACACGUGAGAAACCUGCCCUAAACUUGGGAAUAACAGUCGGAAACGACUGCUAAUACCGAAUAUCUUCACGACGUCGCCUGGCGAUGUGAAGAAAGCUUUAUGCGGUUUAGGAGGGUCUCGCGGCCUAUCAGCUAGUUGGUGAGGUAAUGGCUCACCAAGGCAUCGACGGGUAGCUGGUCUGAGAGGAUGAUCAGCCACACUGGGACUGAGACACGGCCCAGACUCC
rnacentral:rRNA from 2 species